CCGCGGACUCGGCUCUGAGCGCAGCUGAGGGGAGUUGUGUCUCCUCAGGUACCGCCGGGGCUGCGGCUGGGACGCUGGGCUCAGCGUCUCUGCUGACAGGAGCUCGGUCUCCUCAGGACUCGCUGGGCUUUCGGCUUCAGGACAACGUGGGGCUGCGUCCACGCUGACGGGAGCUGGGCUUCCUGAGGACGCAGGCGACGCCGGCGGAUAAGGUCGUCCACAACGCGGAGGACAGCGGCUCCUCAUAUAACCUUCCCACAGUGCCUCUAAGUGACAUGUGGACUUCGGGUGAACUGGAUCUGGUCUCAGAUUUACCUGAUGGUCACCACUCACAGUUACCGCAGAGCCCAGAGAUUUCUCCUUGAAGGAAAUGUUCUGGAAAAUCAGAGGGAUAAAUAAAGAAUGCAGCUGAUUCCCGCCUUGUGCUGACGCCCAAGAGGAUGAGGAGAGCCACGAGGCAUGUGGGAUCUUAGCUCCCCGCCCAGGGAUCAAACUGGCACCCUCUGCAUUGGAAGAUGAAGUCUUAACCACUGGACUGCCAGGGAAGUCCCCACAUUCCUGUAUUGCUGAACUUGAAUUUCUGAGCUAUGUCAGACUCGGGAUGCCACUAGCCAUUCUCAAAACAAUGUCUGCUGGUAGCUGCAACUGUACAUUUUCAAGGACUCCUCUCUUAACUAUUAAAUUUUAAACAAUGAUGUUAGAUCAGAUACUAAUAGAAAGAUGAGACAU